rnacentral:pre_miRNA from 1 species
AUAUUUUAAGGCCUUCUCUUCCUGGUUCUUCCUGUUUCUUCCUGGAGUCAGGAAAAGCUGGAUUGAGAGGGCAAAAGAAAAAAGUU